UCAUGUAGGAGUUUUUUCUUAGAGAAGAAUUAGGAGUUGUAAGGGAAUAGGAGUCUUGAGUAGGAGUCAUAUUAGGAGUUGGUUAGAAGUAAGAGUCUUAAGUAGGAGUCCUAUUAGGAGUUAGGGUUUAGAAGCCCUAUAAAUAGCCAUGUAUUCCUUCUCUUUUCUUAAGCAAUAGAUGAAUCUUUUCUACAGCCUUUGAG
rnacentral:lncRNA from 1 species